GAAUCUCAAUGGGAGUGGGAAAGGGGGAGGGAAGAAACUACUCGGAAAGUUUUGAGACAAGGGGAGGAGCUCAGACUUGGGGAGGUUUAAGCCAAUUUAGAAUUGUUCAGAGUUGGGUGGGGUCAGUCCGAGACUGAGGAGCUAGAGGCGCGGCCUAGAGGGAAUAGGGCAGAACAAUCAAGGGUGGUGGUGCUGCCCAGAAGGUGAGCUGAACCUGGAGUGAGGGGGCUGGGCGCGGAGCUAGAGGCCGGUCGGGACUGCGAAUAUUAGAAGCAUCUGAGGCUGUGUGUGUGAAUGGAUGGGAGGGACCUGGAAGAGAAGCGACUGAAACCCGGGGGCGAGACGGAGAGGGGAGGGGUCGAAGUAAAAAAAUUAAGCAUUUAAAGCUUUUGAAACCCGGAUGGGACCACUGAUGUGGGCAGAGAUUGAACAGAGUUGGGCUGGGGAGCCGAAGCCGAGUGUUGUGUUGAGAAUACGGAUUCUAGAGAUUGUGUAACACUGUUUACUUCUGUGACUCAGUUUCCUCUUCGGUAAAUUGGAGAUGGUGAUGUAAAACAGUGUGUAGCUCAUGGUAAAUGCUAGUUUGGUACUAUUAUCUUUUUUCCCAGACCAAAACCACAAACCUCACUUGGAAGGUGCGGAAGAGAGGAGAACGAAGAGAUCAUUCCCUUCUAGUGACUCGACUUGAGUGCAAGUCAAGGGCAUAGGAAGGAGAUUUAGGUGGUUUAAAAUUUCACAGUGCAGAGGAUUAGUGGAGGUGACGGGGGCGGGGUGGCGGGGCUGUUAGCAGGUGCAGAGGGUGGAGCUUUCCUGAUCCCCAGGCUGAAGGAUGGCGGCCCUCGCCCGCCUGCUGGAAUGUCUCCUCUGGCCAGCUCGCAAGCAAGAGUGGGUGGAGGAGGCAGAGAAGAGGCGCAGCUCUCCCGACGGGCCUCAGUCCCUCCUGGACGCGCCGCGAUGCGCCCAGCGGCCGCACGGGGGUGCGGCGGCGUCUUGGGGCUUGCGCUUCGGGGCGAGCGCAGUGCAAGGGUGGCGCGCACACAUGGAGGACGCGCAUUGCGCUUGGCUUGAGCUACCCGGGCUGGGCCCGGGCUGGGCUUUCUUCGCGGUCCUCGACGGCCACGGUGGGACGAGAGCCGCCCUCUUCGGUGCGCGCCACCUGCCGGGCUACGUGCUUGAGGCGCUGGGCCCAGCGCCCGGCGAGCCCCAGGGCGUGUGCGAAGCACUGCGCCGAGCCUUUCUGAGCGCAGACGCACGCCUGCGCGCUCUCUGGCCCCGCGGCGAGCCGGGAGGCUCCACCGCCUUGGCGUUGCUGGUUUCCCCGCACUUUCUGUACCUGGCGCACUGCGGUGACUCCCGCGCGGUGCUGAGCCGCGCCGGCGCCGUGGCCUUCACCACCGAAGACCAUCGGCCCCUCCGUCCCCGGGAACGCGAGCGCAUCCAUGACGCGGGCGGCACCAUCAGCCGCCGGCGCCUCGAGGGCUCUCUGGCAGUGUCCCGAGCACUGGGAGACUUUGCCUACAAAGAGGCUCCGGGACGGCCCCCUGAACUGCAGCUCGUUUCCGCGGAGCCUGAAGUGACCGCCCUGGCACGCCGAGCAGAGGACGAAUUCAUGCUCCUGGCCUCUGAUGGCGUGUGGGACGCGAUGUCUGGCUCUGCCCUGGCGGGACUGGUGGCAUCUCGCCUCUGCUUGGGCUUGGCCCCAGAGCUUCUCUGCGCGCAGCUGUUGGAUACGUGUCUUUGCAAGGGCAGCCUGGACAACAUGACCUGCAUCCUGGUCUGCUUCCCGGGGGCCCCCAGGCCUUGUGAGGAGGCCAUCAGGAAGGAGCUAGUGCUGGACGCAGCCCUGGGACGCAGGGUUGCAGAGCUGUGUGCCUUUGGCCAGGAGCCCCCCAGCUUGAACACAGUUUUCAGGACUCUGGCCUCUGAGGACAUCCCGGAUUUACCUCCUGGGGGAGGGCUCCACUGCAAGGCCACAGUCAUCGCUGACGCUUACUCUCAGUUCUGCCAGGCCUCAGGAGAGCGCUGGAUGAAAUAAGGCAGAAAAAUUCAAGGAAUGUUGAUGACCAAUACCAAGGGCUGACUGCACUGCAGAGACCACCAGGACAUCUCUGAGGGUGGCCCAGGUCUCAGAGGAGAGAGGUUGUGAAUUGGGCCCAGAUGGCCUAUUUAGAGAUGUCCAAGGAGGUGGUGAGUGGAGCCACAUAAACUAAGAUGGGGCAGAAUGGGGCUGAGAAGCCCACUGGCACCCAUUCAAGCUCUGCCUUGGACUUGGAGGCCUGACAGCUGUCAUCCUUUAGGGACCCUCUGCCCAGCUGGGGCCUCAAUGGAAUUAAGGAAGAAAACUCCCCUUCCCCAGCUAUGCAGACUAGCGGAAGGAAGAGAAACCAAUGGAGGAACCCCAGAAUGUUUAUUUCCCUUUCUCCUACUUCCCUCUCAUAAGACAGAAAGUCUUAUGAGAGAGGGGAAAUUCCACCCACCAGCUAGACCCAAAAAAAAAAAAACCAAAAAUAACCCAAACCUCAAAACCCCAAAACCAAAUGUCUUUGAAAUAUUUAGAGCUGAAUGGACCCUGAAAAUCACC